rnacentral:lncRNA from 1 species
CAAAGAAAGCUUAUAUAAUGACUUCUACCAACUUUUAAGUCUUUUGGUUCCAUACUCUCGCCGAUGCAGGAUGUAAGUAUUCUAUUGAUCGAAUAGCCGUCUCUUUAUUUCCUCUGACUAGAUUUUCCACUUGGUACAAAAAAUACUAUUCACAACGUUGGUUGAAAUCUAUACUUGACAAGUUAUUUUACAAGCAUGUGGUUUCAAAUACGAUGUUCCCUGAUCCAUACGACACGUAAAUGUGUUCUGAUUACAUAUUUUCCUUGUUGUUUUGGACUGCUAUGUCGGACGUCAGCGAGUUGUGAAUUGUAUUGUUGUCUACCACUAGUCUGUGAUAUGUGUUAGGUAUGUCUGAUUAGAAUAUUGGUGUUGCACAACUUAUGAUGGUGUACUAUUCCACCACCUGUCAAAUACAAGCAAAAGGUAGCAAAGACAUGGGUUUGAGUUGUUUGUUAAAAAUUAUCAACCUAACUUUAUCCCUUUUUAGUACUGGUUACUUGUGUGGUAAACCCUUCAUGAAUUACAAGCUAUCUUUGAGCAUCAUAUUCAUUAAUCUUUUUGUAAGGUUUUCUUAUUUUAGGGUAUCUCAAAUUAAACGAACUUAAUACUAAUCUCCCAAAAUUAUGAGACUCAAGAAUUGGGGUGGUCACUUGAGUGGUAAACUCUUCAUGAAUUGCAAGUUUUAAUCCUUGAACGUCAAUGUCUUUUCUGCAAGGUUUUCUUCUUCUAGAGGAUCUCAAAUUAAAAGAACUUUCUUCGAUUUUUAAAAAAGUUCAUUGGUGUUGAAUCUUGGAUAGUUUUGGUGCAAUUCUUAUUAUUACAGUGUUUAGCAGGUUUUUCUGAUUCUGGAGGCUAUGUUGGAUUAGUUGGGUAUGUUUUGGACAGGUCCACAACAGGAAGGUCGCUAGAGAGAUUUCCUGCUUUUGAUCUCAUGAAGAUCUUUCUACUUGUGCCUGUUAUCUGUGGUGCAUGUGGUUUCGAUCACGUCAGAAAGUUCGGGUGUCAAUGGCGAUACGGUUUUCUUAGCUUCGAAUGUUGGGCAUUUGCAAGGAAAAUCAUAAUCAGUGAAUGAAAGGCAAAUUGGACGAAUUUUGUUUAUGUAUCUACAUCUCCGACAUAUUUUCUGGUGAAGACAUAGUAAAAUCCGUUGACGAGGUUACUCCCACCGGCUGUUAAUAAUAUACGAAUCAAAAUAUGGCAAAGGGCUCUUGAAUCUCGUGCUAAACUUUAUGGAUAUUUGUUAGAAACGAAAUUUGUUAAGUCAAAUAACACUAUUGACAAUAUUGAUGAUGGUGAAUCUAAACAGGAAGUUGCCAUUUUGGUGGGAAAGAAACAUUGAUGCAAGUUAGAAGGGUGUCCGAAGUUUUCUCCUUACAUUUAUUUUCACAUCUGUGGUAUUCCAAAAAAGAAUUUAUUUCCGUGUUUUCUGUGGCUUCGUUUACUGUUGACUUGUUAUAAGUUUGUCGCGUGUUAUGUAGUUAAUUUUUUCGUCAGAGAAAUUAUGUGCUUUCCGGAAAGGACACGAAGGGAAAUCAAGCUCUAUGAUAAUAUCUGUGCCAAAGGCUUGUUUCCAAAAUCCUAAUUGGCGAUCAGACACUUUGAAUUUGUAGUGAAAAGUAUCGAUGUAUCAACUAUGCCUUUGGUGAUAUAUCCGGAAGACUAAAUCAGUCAGGGUAUUCAUCUGCACAUCUACAUCUCAUAUUUGAUAUGCAAUCGAUGACAAUGUUUUAUGUAUGAUAACUUAACAAAAAUAAACCUUAAAUAGCUUCAUUAUA